CGAAGACAUGGUUCUACCCAGCUAAGUACAGAUUUAUAAUAGUGUGAUAAGAGUUUCGGGCUGGCAAAGCUUGCAACCAUCUUUCUUCUGACACAGUACUAUAAUCCAGUGUACUGAAUAUCACAUCAAUGGGAAAUACCAAAGGUUGAGAAACACCGUGCACAGAACGCACAAUCUGUGUCAUUAUUCAUGCAUCCACAUAC